GAAAAUAGAAGAGGAAGAUCCUCAAGCACCUCUUGAGCAGUUUUCCCCACAGCAUCAGGAACCCACCCAGCAGACGGCGGGUUCCUCAUCUUGGUCAACUAACCAAUGGAGCUGGGUACAGACCGAGAUAGGUGACUUGAGGACUGAACAGCAAAGGCAAGGCAUCGAGCAAGCCCGUCAGGGAGUGAUGUUGGAUGAGAUGAGAAGCAUGAUGCGACAGUUGAUGUUGC
rnacentral:lncRNA from 1 species